AUGUUUCAAGUGUGCCUUAGGCAACCCUAUUAUAAAAUCUAUAGUGAUAUGUUCCCAUUUCUACUCUAAUAUUGGUGAUAACUGAAAUAGUCUGCUCAGACGUUGAUGCUCUACUUUAACCUACUGACAUACAAGGUACUUGAAAACGAAAUCAAUAAUUUCUCUUUUUAUCCUACUCUACCAGAAUCGAGAUCACAUAUUUUGGUACAUCUUAAUACUUUCGAGCUGCAUGGUGAACUUUGAACU
rnacentral:lncRNA from 1 species